AAACGCAAUAUGCAACAAAAUCAGUCAAUUGAAAUAAAUAAAUGAGGUCCUAAUCUAUGGAUUUUACAUGACUGGGCAGGGGCACAGCCAUGGAUGGGCCUGGGAGGGCAUAGGCCCACUCACUGAGGAACCAUGCCCAGCCAAUUAGAAUGAGUUUUGUCCACAAAAGGGCUUCAUUACAGACAGAAAUACUCAUCAGUUUUAUCAGCUGUCCGGGUGGAUGGUCUCAGGUGAAGAAGCUGGAUGUGGAGGUCCUUGGCUGGAGUGGUUUCACAUGGUCUGUGUUGAGGCCAGUUGGACAUAAUGCCAAAUUCUCUAAAAUGACGUUGGAUGCGGCUUUGGUAGAGAAAUUAACAUUAAUUUGUCUGGCAACAGCUCUGGUAGACAUUGCUGCAGUCAGCAUGCCAAUUGCACGCUCCCUCAAAACUUGACACAUCUGUGGCAUUGUAUUGUGUGACAAAACUGCACAUUUUAGUGUGACCUUUUAUUGACCCCAGCACAAGGUGCACCUGUGUAAUGAUCAUGCUGUUUAAUCAGCUUCUAGAUAUGCCACACCUGUAAGGUGGAUGGAUUAUCUUGGCAAAAUAUAAAUGUUCACUAACAGGGAUGUAAACAAAUGUGUGCACAAACCUUUAGAGAAAUAAGCUUUUUGUGUACAUGGAAAAAUGCUGGGUCCUUCUAUUUCAGCUUGUGAACUUUGGGACCAACACUUUACAUGUUGCAUUUAUAUUUUUGUUCAGCAUAGAAUCUGGUAUCACAAAACACCAUCACAAAAAGGACAGCAAGCAGAGAGAUGACUAGGCCAUGGACAAGUGACCAGAGCGAACCUUAUGUGGCAGAUUGGAACCUUUCUUCCCCAUCCUGGCCGGAUCCAAAAUGGCACCCGAUUCCAGACAUACUGCACUAAUUUAGUGAGACAUACCAAAUAUGUUUCCUUAUGUCCAGUCCACUAGGUAAACAACUGUCUCCCAGACAUCUUAUGUCCACUAUGUAAACAACUGUCUCCAAGACAUCUUAUGUCCACUAGGUAAACAACUGUCUCCCAGACAUCUUAUAUCCACUAGGUAAACAACUGUCUCCCAGACAUCUUAUGUCCACUAGGUAAACAACUGUCUCCCAGACAUCUUAUGUCCACUAGGUAAACAACUGUCUCCCAGACAUCUUAUGUCCACUAGGUAAACAACUGUCUCCCAGACAUUUUAUUUCCAGUCCACUAGGUAAACAACUGUCUCCCAGACAUUUUAUGUCCAGUCCACCAGGUAAACAACUCUCUCCCAGACAUUUUAUGUCCAGUCCACUAGGUAAACAACUGUCUCCCAGACAUUUUAUGUCCACUAGGUAAACAACUGUCACCCAGACAUUUUAUGUCCACUAGGUAAACAACUGUCUCCCAGACAUCUUAUGUCCACUAGGUAAACAACUCUCUCCC
rnacentral:lncRNA from 1 species